rnacentral:rRNA from 1 species
UACGGAGGGUGCAAGCGUUAUCCGGAAUGAUUGGGCGUAAAGGGUCCGCAGGUGGCAGUGUAAGUCUGCUGUCAAAGAAUGAGGCUUAACCUUAUCAAGGCAGUGGAAACUACACAGCUAGAGUACGGUCGGGGUAGAAGGAAUUCCUGGUGUAGCGGUGAAAUGCGUAGAGAUCAGGAAGAACACCGGUGGCGAAAGCGCCCUGCUAGGCCGCAACUGACACUCAUGGACGAAAGCUAGGGGAGCGAAUGGG